GCUUGGUCGCGUCUGAGGGGGCUUGUAGGUGGCUCUGGCUGAAACAGGCGCCUGCGAGAGUCUGUAGGAGGGAAACCGCCAUGGACGAUCAGGGUUGCCCUCGGUGUAAGACCACCAAAUAUCGGAACCCCUCCUUGAAGCUGAUGGUGAAUGUGUGCGGACACACUCUCUGUGAAAGUUGUGUAGAUUUACUGUUUGUGAGAGGAGCUGGAAACUGCCCUGAGUGUGGUACUCCACUCAGAAAGAGCAACUUCAGGGUACAACUCUUUGAAGAUCCCACUGUUGACAAGGAGGUUGAGAUCAGGAAAAAAGUGCUAAAGAUAUACAAUAAAAGGGAAGAAGAUUUUCCUAGUCUAAGAGAAUACAAUGAUUUCUUGGAAGAAGUGGAAGAAAUUGCAAUCAUGAGUGACUAUGGAUUUUAGCUGAAAAGAUGGUAGAAUUGGGAGUGACAAGGCAAAGUGGAAAAGUUAGAAUGUAGACUGAGAAGAAAAACCAGAAAGAAAUCUACAAGAACUGGGCAAGUAUGAAGUUUUCAACUUGACCAACAAUGUGGAUUUGGACAACACC
rnacentral:lncRNA from 1 species